ACUAGGCCAAGGGGGAAAAUUCUCAGGGUUUGAAGGCAAUUUAUUGGAAUGAUGAAGGAGAGCAAGAGGAAGAACAGAUUUUCAGAGAAAGUCUUACGUAGAUAUGUCUGAUUAGUGGAGUCCAGGCAACAUACCUGCAGCCGAACAUACCUGCCUGCUGACUCUCCUUUGCAGGGAGUUCUCCACUGUAUGGAGAGGCCCGCGUGGCCAGGAACCGAGGGCAGCCUCCAGUGACAGCCAGCAUGAAAGGGAGGCCCUCAGUCUCGGUCCACAGGGAACCGAAUGUCGUCAACAGCCGUGGAAGCUGGGAAGUUUCGGGAGAGACCCUGAAAUAGAGGACAUGCCCAGAUUCCUGACCCAAGGAAACCAUGGGAUAAUA